UACGUAUGGAGCAAGCGUUAUCCGGAUUUACUGGGUGUAAAGGGAGUGUAGGUGGCCAGGCAAGUCAGAAGUGAAAGCCCGGGGCUCAACCCCAGGACUGCUUUUGAAACUGCAGGGCUAGAGUGCAGGAGGGGCAAGUGGAAUUCCUAGUGUAGCGGUGAAAUGCGUAGAUAUUAGGAGGAACACCAGUGGCGAAGGCGGCUUGCUGGACUGUAACUGACACUGAGGCUCGAAAGCGUGGGGAGCAAACAGG
rnacentral:rRNA from 1 species